rnacentral:lncRNA from 1 species
AUGAUCAGCUUUCUGCUAUGAAUGAUUAUGAUCGAGCUAAAGAUUGGGUCAGACGCAAUGUCACCCGCUACAAUUUCAAAGGAGGUGUCAAUAUCAAGUAUGAUUCAUUACACCUUUCUUUUUUGUUCUUGGUUAAUUUGAUGUGUUUUAUGAUCUAUACUGACGAUCUGCACCACAUUGAGCAUUUGUUGAAGGAGUGGCUGGCUCCUCUUGUGCUCUUCCUGCUUAUUAGUGUUGCUUGUAAAGCAAAUGUGGGAUAUGAUUCCCUUUGCUCUAAAUUGCUUCAAAUGCUUUGUUGUUAGUUAGGAAUAUGUAUUAAAGGAAAUGGCUUUGCAAAUACACUUAGGCAGUAAAGUGAAAAAUGGAUAAAAAAUAUAUUUCCCCUUACAAAGUCGGGUGAGCCUUGAUGCAACAGUAGAGUUGCUCUUUUCUUGGCUCAUAGGUCUGGGGUUUGAGUGCGUCGGAACAAUCUCUUUGGCACCUUUCUGUUUUGUUCUUGGUUAAUUUGAUGUGUUUUAUGAUCUAUACUGACGAUCUGCACCACAUUGAGCAUUUGUUGAAGGAGUGGCUGGCUCCUCUUGUGCUCUUCCUGCUUAUUAGUGUUGCUUGUAAAGCAAAUGUGGGAUAUGAUUCCGUUUCCUCUAAAUUGCUUCAAAUGCUUCUUGUUAGUUAGGAAUAGGCAUUAAAGGAAAUGGCUUUGCAGAUACACUUAGGCAGUAAUGUGAUAAAAGGAUAAAGAAUCUAUUUCCCUUUACAAAGUUGGGUGAGCCUUGAUGCAACAGUAGAGUUGUUCUUUUCUUGGCUCAUAGGUCUGGGGUUUGAGGCGUCGGAACAAUCUCUUUGUUCUCUCCGUAGGAGGGCGACCCCUGAUGCAACAGUAGAGUUGCUACUUUUGUGACUCAUAGGUCAGGGUUUGGGGCACUGAAACAACCUCUUUGUAGAAAUGCAAGAGAAAGGUGGCAUAUGAUAUACGUCCACCUUUCCCCUGCACCCGCACUAGCUACAAAGCAUUCUUUUCACAAGUUAAGUCCUUUUGAGUGCAUAUUCUCUU